UACAGAGGUCUCAAGCGUUGUUUCGGAUUCAUUGGGCGUAAAAGGGUGCGUAGGUGGCGCGGUAAGUCGGGUGUGAAAUCUCGGGGCUUAACUCCGAAACUGCAUUCGAUACUGCCGUGCUUGAGGACUGGAGAGGAGACUAGAAUUUACGGUGUAGCAGUGAAAAUGCGUAGAUAUCGUAAGGAAGACCAGUGGCGAAGGCGGGUCUCUGGACAGUUCCUGACACUGGGAGACGAAGGCCAGGGGAGCAAAACGGGGAU
rnacentral:rRNA from 1 species